GCGGCAUGCCUUACACAUGCAAGUCGAACGGCAGCACGGGUGCUUGCACCUGGUGGCGAGUGGCGAACGGGUGAGUAAUACAUCGGAACAUGUCCUGUAGUGGGGGAUAGCCCGGCGAAAGCCGGAUUAAUACCGCAUACGAUCUACGGAUGAAAGCGGGGGACCUUCGGGCCUCGCGCUAUAGGAUUGGCCGAUGGCUGAUUAGCUAGUUGGUGGGGUAAAGGCCUACCAAGGCGACGAUCAGUAGCUGGUCUGAGAGGACGACCAGCCACACUGGGACUGAGACACGGCCCAGACUCCUACGGGAGGCAGCAGUGGGGAAUUUUGGACAAUGGGCGAAAGCCUGAUCCAGCAAUGCCGCGUGUGUGAAGAAGGCCUUCGGGUUGUAAAGCACUUUUGUCCGGAAAGAAAUCCUUGGUUCUAAUAUAGCCGGGGGAUGACGGUACCGGAAGAAUAAGCACCGGCUAACUACGUGCCAGCAGCCGCGGUAAUACGUAGGGUGCGAGCGUUAAUCGGAAUUACUGGGCGUAAAGCGUGCGCAGGCGGUUUGCUAAGACCGAUGUGAAAUCCCCGGGCUCAACCUGGGAACUGCAUUGGUGACUGGCAGGCUAGAGUAUGGCAGAGGGGGGUAGAAUUCCACGUGUAGCAGUGAAAUGCGUAGAGAUGUGGAGGAAUACCGAUGGCGAAGGCAGCCCCCUGGGCCAAUA
rnacentral:rRNA from 1 species